rnacentral:rRNA from 1 species
ACCUGCCUGGUAGCGGGGGAGUAACUAUUGGAAACGAUAGCUAAUACCGCAUAACAGUAGAUAUUGCAUGAUAUCUGCUUGAAAGGGGCAAUUGCUCCACUACCAGAUGGACCUGCGUUGUAUUAGCUAGUUGGUGAGGUAACGGCUCACCAAGGCGACGAUACAUAGCCGACCUGAGAGGGUGAUCGGCCACACUGGGACUGAGACACGGCCCAG